UUGGCGCUUUGACUAAAACCGCAGCGUGUUGGGUUUGGGGUGGAAUAAAUUUUCGACUCAUUUGGGCAAAUACCAAGGGCGGUGAUGGCUGGAUCAUAUGGUAAGAGUACGCUUAGUUUUGUAAGAAACCGCCAGCUGUCUUCCAGAAUGGCUGGACCGUUUCGUGUUCCCACCAGCAGUGGAGAAUUUCUACUACUCCAUGCCCUCAGCGUCUCGUGUUGUCAGUGGUCUAGAGUUUGGUCGUUGUAAACAGAUUUUCAACGUGGACGUUUUGCCUGUUAAUCCAGCGAUCCUUCUAGUAGGACAACAGUGCAUAUCCGAUGGGACCACGUAAAGGUGAAACGACCUCACACGUGUAUCAUGACCAUGAUGAUACCUAACAUUUGGCACCUGCCGGGCGCUGUGCUAAGGUGACUUGGUAGAUUCGAGCCUCACAGUACAUCACCCCAUGACUCGGGCGCUAAUGUUAUUAUUACUAGGUUUGAGUAUGGUUGAUACACGUCGUUAACGUGGGUUUCAGGCCUGCGGCAUAGGAAUUCAUCAAGCCUCCACAUUAUGCUGUGCUCACCACAAGUGUGGCUGCUAUCUGUCACCUGAGCACCGUUACGAUCCCAUUGACUGUGUCCCCUGUGCUGGGCCUUUUAUUCUCGGGUGCUAUUAUUAUCUUCUUUUGCAGAUAAAGAAACAGUAGAUCAGAGAGAUCAAGCGCUGUGGCCGAGGAUAGGUAGGGAGUGUCUGAGCUAGAUUCAGACCCAAACCUGCGGGACUCUGGGGCCAGCGUCCUUAAGCACCGUGCUGUCCAUUGCCUUAUAUGUAAUAGAUGUUCAGUAAAAAAACGUUGCCCCGCCUCAGGUACACAUGGCAGAGGCGGGUUCGUUCCAGUGAAGGAUCCAUCGUCACGCCGGGGUCUGUUGCGGUCCUCUUUGUAGCUUUUGUUCGAAAACCCCGAAGUUUUGCCCCAGCAAAACCCUGUGUCCGUGCCCGUGGAGAAGACGAGAGCAUCACCCUCCUCAUUAUGGCCUCAGCAUGCUCUCCGAACCCUCAGAUCAUCAAUAACAUCGAUACCAACUAAUUUAAACCCACUGAACCAGUGAACUCGGGCUGCAGAUGUGUUUAUGAGCAGGAUACUGAGUAGAUAUUUUAACUAAGUGGAACAUUUCUUGCUUCAAUUAAUGCAAAAGGUAGCAACUCAAAGGAAAUAUUAGGGGCAUUAAGUUUUAUAUUAGUGCCAUUUAUUAUCUAUGAUAUUUAACACUUUUAAUCACUUUAUUUCCGUGUUGACAGCUGCUGAGAGAAAAAGAGCUUUCUGUGGUGACUGUGACCCAGGACUUACUAUCAAGCCGAGACCGAUGGUCAUUAACCCCUGAGUUGUCACGGUCUCCUGAGGAAAUAGUGAGGAUUUUAUGAGCGUUAUUAAUGGAAAACAGGUAGAUCUAGUUAGUGACUAGCAAAGAACGACGCCGUAGAAAAAUUCUUGGAAAAGGUAACCUGUGUAGCAGGCAGAUAACAUUUAUUGAACCUCUCUCUGUGCCAGGCAUGUGCUGGGCAGCCUACCUACUGAGCAAUCAAUCCUACGAGGCUAUGAUUAUGCCCAUUUCACAGAUGAGCAACUCUAAAGGCUGAGAUAUUUGUUCACUCUUCACAACUUUUGCACCGUUAGCUCCCCGUGGAGAUCUGAUGCUGAGUACAGUGGCAUAUUUCCUGCCCCUGUGGAGCUUCUGUUCUGGGGAGGGAACUAGAUAUUUAUAAUUACUUUUUAAUUAUGAUUACAAUAACGAGACCAGGGCUGAGACAAGGAAAGAAUGGAGGAGCUUUGGGAACCUGGAAGAGGUGACCUUCGUUUAGACCUUACGGUGAGAAGUCAAGGAGGACUUCCUGGAGGAAGUGAUAUUUCAAAUCUCAGGGAGUCCUGGGAUUUGGAUGAUUACCAGUGCUCAGGCAGGGGAACAGGAGAGGGAACGUGGAGGUGGUAUAUAUAUAUGAUUCCAGGUGGAGGAAAUAAUAUAUAUAUCAAGGCACAGAGAUGUGAGAAAGCCACUGAUUUGCCAAGGAGUGUGCUUCUAUUAUGUGGCAAAGCUAAUAUUUGAAUCCAGGUUCAUCUGAAUCUUUCUUUCUUUUUUCAUGUUUUUAUUUUAUUUUUGAGAGGGAGAGACUGAGCAUGAGCAGGGAAGGGGCAGACAGAGAGGGAGACACAGAACCCGAACCAGGCUGCAGGCUCGGAGUUGUGGGCCCAGAGCCUGAUGCAGGGCUCGAACUCACUGGCGGUGAGAUCAUGACCUGAGCCCAAGUCGGAGGCUUAACCGACUGAGCCAUCCAGGCGCCCCAUCAUCUGAAUCCUUCUAUUGAAACCCGACACAGAAGAGGAUCUGUGAUCUUCUUAGGCACAUAAUCAAAAUAUCUAAUCUUCAAAGGAAGCAUCCAAGUAGUUUGAGGCAUGCUGGGAGUUCCCACUUGGGCCAUAGUAGUCUACUAGUGACCCCUGGCCCCAGGUUGGAGUCCCGCCUCGGCAGGCUUUGAGGGGCGAGAAGCUUCUUGGCUUCCUUCCUAGCUUCUGGCAGGAGGGACGCAAGGCUUCACACUAUUGCCUCUGUUUGAAAAUUGGAGGCUGUGAGGAACAGAGACCCCAGGCAGGCUGGCUCAAGCACCUGUAAGGUGCAGGGGUCUUUUUGCUCCAGGUUAGGCUUGAAUGAGGCUCCGGCGUCGCCAGACGUUGUUCUGGCUCCACUUUGCACUCCACGUGGCCCAUUCCCGGGAAGGCCAUUCCCUCUGCGGUGGCCGCAGAACUGGUGUGAGAGUACUUAACCUCGGUUUAAAUAUGGCCGCGCGGACCUGGGGUGGGGUGGGCUGGUAGCGAGACUCCAGUACUCUGGGAGCUUAGAGGCAAGCCAGCCAAGACUGCGGCCCUGAUUGGCUGGCCUGGGUCAUCUGUUCCCCUUCCCUCUAACCAAUCACAGUUGUGAAGGGAAUUCAGUGAGCUGAUUGGCUGAAGCCUGAGCUAGGCACCGCCCCCAUCCCCGAACUGAGCAUGCGCGGAGAGGUGCGGUAGGGAUGGCUUCCCGAGGGGAGAAUGGGGCUGUUUACUGAAAUAACGUGGGUGGACCCUGGGCUCCACCGAACCUUCGCCUCGCCCUGGAGGAAUAUCAUUCCCAUCUUGAAGUUGCAGUGACACCCAUGACAAGCAGCAGCCAUUGUGGGGCACUGCGAGGGAGCCCUGGCUGUUGUAGAGGCAGUGCGGGACGGAGGGUGGGGAGGCGGAGCCAACGGACUUUAGACCAAAAAGGACUGUAGUUCCCGUCUAAGCUCCGCUGUCACCACCUGUAACUCCUGGGGCACGUCAUCGAAGCUUCUGGGCCUCAGCUUCCCUGUUGGUAAAAGGCGAAUGCCGAUCUUGAGCUUGAGAUGCUUCUAUUAGAAUAAAUGAAUUACUGAAUCGAAGAGACCCAGUGCGAUGCCUGGCGCUUCCCAGAGCACUGGUAAAAUGUCAGGUGCCUCCAACAGAUCCAGAGAAUGGCCGUCCAGUAUAAAGUGAUGGAAGUCUGUAAAGGAAUUUAUCAGUCCAUGUGUCUGCUCAGUCCAAAAGAAGGCAGUCUUUGCUUCAGCGGACGACUCGUGAGCAAGGUUGAACAGUCUACACAGUAAUAUAGGACCACAGAAUCUGACAGAUGUUGAUGGGGCACCUGGGUGACUCGGUCGGUUAAACGUCCGACUCUUGAUCUCAGCUCCGGUCUCGAUCUCAGGGUGGCUCUGAAGACAGUCGUGAGUCCGAAUCUUCGCUCUACUGCUUACUUAUCCGACACUUUUCUCAUCAGUAAAACAAAGGUAAUUACAGGACCUACAUCACAAGGCUGCAGCGCAGGUUAGUUGCCUUGAUCAAAGUAAAUGUCUUAGAACAGGAUCUGACACAUAGUAACAUGUAGUAACUGCUCAGGAAGCGGUCACUCAUUUUAUCCAGGAAUGACGGGCUUCAGCCGUGGCUAGAUCCUGAUUCUCCAAACAACGGCUGUGGCGAAUCUGCCUGUCCGUUUUUGGACCAGCUUCCCCUGUUGACUUUAUUCUCAGGUGACCUCUCUACCCUGGGGAAAGGUGACCACCAGGACCCGCAGGCCCCAAGGCUACCGGUUUCACAGUCCUGGCGGAAGAAAGGGGUCUUUUGCCUGUUUCUGGCAUACUCCCAAGGGUGACCUUCCAUUGGCGCAACUAAGGUGAUAUGGCCGUCCAUAUUACCACGGGCAACGGAAUGAAUUGGACGGAUCGUUCUGGAGCCACGGGCUCUGUGUGUUGUCUUCUCUUUCAUGUUGGAGAUCUUGCCUGGCAGGGCAGGGCGGGGAAAGUAAGUCCUCCGACCAGCACCGCCAUGUUUAGCCUCGUGCCUCGCGCCCUUCCGUGGUGUCCGGCACCUCCAAGUCCUGGGCCUCCCAUGUUUCUUCGGAAUACAGCUGCUUGAUUCUGCUCGGUGUCUGCCCGCGUGGGUGCUUCAUUCCAGAUUUUUCUGUCCUGCCAUGUCCGUUUUCUCACUCGCCCUGCCUCCUCUCCAUUUCUCUCUGUUCACGUGCACUUCUUCUGUGGACCUCGGAGUUACCGUCGUCGAGGGGUCUUUCUGGAAGGAAAGGAGAUAGAUGCCCAUGUUCAUUCCACUGUGUAAUCCUGAGUCCCGGCAGAGGGUUUUCUGGAGGCCGUGGUUCUUGCCAUCUUGACCGAUGAUGUUCUCGAGGAUAACAGAUUUCCAUCAAUAAGGUUAUGUUGGAUAAAGAGGAGAUACUAUGGAUUACAUGCACGUCCCCGAGCAGUAAGUACACGUCUUUCCCUACCAUUGAUCUGUAACACACCAGAACCACGCUUUGAGAGCAGCUGACGAAUAUACUGGUUGCUAAGUGCUUUCUAAAGAUUCUGCGGUGAGGACAGCAUUCGGUAGAGGGAUCUGCAAGGGCUAAGAGUGUGUGUCCAUUCCCACAGACCAGAAAAAAAAAGGUGACAGAGCCCUCAGGUGCCAUCCGGGGGGAAACGCACCCCCAAGAAGCAGGUACUUAACUUCUGGGAGCACUGGUGGCAGCCUGCGUUUUGUGACACAGCUCGUGGCCAGUGUCUCUGUGUCCCCCAUGUGUCCUCUCUGUGCCCACACUCUGAGCUAAAAUGUGGGACGUGCAGGUCAGUAAGACAGAGCGUUCACUGGGGCGCCUGGGUGGCUCAGUCAGGUGG